CAGAGAAGUUGCAGGAGGGGUGCCAAGCAUUUGGGAGGGUGUCCUGAAGGAGAGAGUUGAGUCAGAGUGGGGGAUCUUGUAAGCUGUUAGAAAACUAAGAAUGAUGGUUUAAAAGAGCUCUCAUCUCAUAUGACGAUUCCUCGGUUCCACUAGAAUGUUUGGCUAUUCAUGGUAAAUCCAAGUGAUUACGCAUAGGCAUGUGUAUAUUGUCAGGCAAAGCAUAGAUAUUUUGAAACCAGUAUACAAAGCUUUUGGUUCUUCAAGUCAGUUGUUUGGCGUGUGGGUUAAUGCCCCAUGCUUUGUGGUUCCCAGAUCAAUGAACUGAGUGCAUCAUUAAUUUCACAUGUUAAGAGUAUAUGAUAAGAAACCUACAAGUAUGUUAUCAAGGAAUCGUUGGGAGUGCCUUUCCCCCCAUAACCUCCUCCUCCCAAAAAACUGGGGAAAUUACUGUUCUUUUGUGUCCUCCCAUCUGUGAAAAAUGUCCGUAAUACUCUAUGAAUAAGCUUACUCAUUCACACCAGGAGCAUGUGAAAUUGUACAUAUUUUGAAUACCAAGAAUUAGAAAUAUGAACACAUGAAGCUUAUACUAGAAAGCUGAGAUAUUUUUGGUAUUGCUUCAAAUUUUUUGGUAGAUUUUUGCAUGCUAUUUUAAAAUCCUGGUUGUAGGACUUCCCUCAAUAGUUGUUAUAAACCUAGUACUUCAUGUGUUUUAAUCAUUAAAAUAUGUUUUGGUUUUUGUUCUGCUUAAUAUUUGUUACUUUAAUAUUAAAAUCAGUCCUAUCAAAUAACAUUGCUGAGAUGUUUAAAUUAGAUACAAAAUUUGACAGUAAUUGCUCUUAUUUGUUAGGUCUGAAACUAGGUGUGUGUGUGUGUGUGUGUGUGUGUGUGUGUGUGUGUGUGUGUGUUUACCUGGGGACUGGUGGAUCACAUCUGUAAUCAACCCUAGGUACAAAGGAG